rnacentral:rRNA from 1 species
UACAGAGGUCUCAAGCGUUGUUCGGAUUCAUUGGGCGUAAAGGGUGCGUAGGUGGCGUGGUAAGUCUGGUGUGAAAUCCCGGGGCUCAACCCCGGAACUGCACUGGAUACUGCCAUGCUUGAGUACUGGAGAGGAGAUUGGAAGUUUACGGUGUAGCAGUGAAAUGCGUAGAUAUCGUAAGGAAGACCAGUGGCGAAGGCGAAUCUCUGGACAGUUACUGACACUGAGGCACGAAGGCCAGGGGAGCAAACGGG